UUGAUAGCGUCACAGACAGAUGACCUCUGCUUAUGCCCAGAGCAGGUACAGUAAGGCAGAAGCAGUGCAGACCUUGCCUGCACACACUCCAGUCCCUGCCAAUGUGCCUCAGUUCUAAACUCAAAGGAUACUGGGGUUUCCUCUCCCAUUUGCUGCUUGUCUCUUUGCAUCUUCU
rnacentral:sRNA from 1 species